rnacentral:pre_miRNA from 1 species
CAUGUACUUUCUUCGUCCGGAAUUAUUUGUCAUUAAAAUGGAUGUGUCUAGAACUAAAAUACAUCUAGAUACAUCCAUUUCAAUGACAAGUAUUUUCGGACGGGGAGAGUAUAUG